rnacentral:rRNA from 1 species
AGGACGAACGCUGGCGGCGUGCUUAACACAUGCAAGUCGAGCGGAAAGGCCCUUCGGGGUACUCGAGCGGCGAACGGGUGAGUAACACGUGAGCAACCUGCCCUUAGCUCCGGGAUAGCUCCGGGAAACCGGAAUUAAUACCGGAUAUGACCUAGGCCGACAUCGGCUGUGGUGGAAAGUUUUUCGGCUGGGGAUGGACUCGCGGCCUAUCAGCUUGUUGGUGGGGUAAUGGCCUACCAAGGCGACGACGGGUAGCCGGCCUGAGAGGGCGACCGGCCACACUGGGACUGAGACACGGCCCAGACUCCUACGGGAGGCAGCAGUGGGGAAUCUUGCGCAAUGGGCGAAAGCCUGACGCAGCGACGCCGCGUGGGGGAUGAAGGCCUUCGGGUUGUAAACCCCUUUCAGCAGGGACGAAGCGAAAGUGACGGUACCUGCAGAAGAAGCGCGGCUACUACGCGCCAGCAGCCGC